GCUCAGGAUGAACGCUGGCGGCGUGCUUAACACAUGCAAGUCGAACGAAGCACCUUGAUUUGAUUCUUCGGAUGAAGAUCCUGGUGACUGAGUGGCGGACGGGUGAGUAACGCGUGGGUAACCUGCCUCAUACAGGGGGAUAACAGUUAGAAAUGAUUGCUAAUACCGCAUAAGACCACAGCACCGCAUGGUACAGGGGUAAAAACUCCGGUGGUAUGAGAUGGACCCGCGUCUGAUUAGGUAGUUGGUGGGGUAACGGCCUACCAAGCCGACGAUCAGUAGCCGACCUGAGAGGGUGACCGGCCACAUUGGGACUGAGACACGGCCCAAACUCCUACGGGAGGCAGCAGUA
rnacentral:rRNA from 1 species